GGGGAACUCUCAGAUGCCUCAGCACCCUCCCACCCCUUCCUCAGGCAGAACGAGAUCUUGUGGCGGGAGGUGGUGACACUUCGGCAGAGCCAUGGUCAGCAGCACCGGGUCAUUGGCAAGCUGAUCCAGUGUCUCUUUGGGCCACUUCAGGCGGGGCCGAGCAAUGCAGGAGGCAAGAGAAAGCUGUCCCUGAUGCUGGAUGAGGGGAGCUCAUGCCCAACACCUGCCAAGUUCAACACCUGCCCUCUGCCUGGUGCCCUUCUGCAGGACCCCUACUUCAUCCAGUCGGUAGGUUUGUCUUCUUCCCCCUUCCCAAGGGCAUGGCUGGGCUUAUGGAGAGCCUGUUCCUUCUCCCCAU
rnacentral:sRNA from 1 species